AGGUUUUUAUAAAGUGUCAAUUUGGGGGAGGGAGCCACAUGGCCAAAACCAAAUUUUUUAUCAUUUAUGUUACUUUUUAUUUUAAAUAAAGAUAAAAUACAAAGGCAUGUGGCUGAAGAAAUAAUUUUCUUUAUAACCCGUUAAGAUCAGCUUUCUGGAAAAAAAAAUUAAAAGGAGGAAGAGGCAUACCAUGAACAACUGGUCUAUACUGUCUUUCUGUGGUACUCUUGAGAAUAUCUGUACAGCACACUGAGGGGUAUCUUAGUAUUUUUUUUAAUUGGGAUGCAGAUGAUACAUGUUAGAGAAAUGGCUAUGAAAGCACUUGAGAACCUGAACACAGAAACAAUAUUAAACCCUUUAUUUGGCUUAUGUGCUUGACUUCGCAGAUACUGACUUUAAUCGCAUUACUUGCAUGCCUAAAUUUAAACAUGCAUCAUAGUAGCAUUACACAUUUUGGUGACAUCCUGAGAUCUAUUUAAUGUGUGUUAGUUGCAAAGCCAGAAGCUUUAAUGCUAAGGGAAAGGAAAAACAUUUUGAAUCUAGUUUGGAAUAGGAAAACUGAAAUGGGCUAUUUUUUAGUCUCUUGUGUGAAAAAUCCUGAAUCUUUUUACGGAGGACAAAGUAAAGAGGAAAAAUUCACUAGAUCUUAGUUACAUGGACUAUUGUGUAUCAUUCAACAGAGAAAUUAAAAUCUGUAUGUUAUGAAUGGAGGAUUUUAUUUAAUCAAACUUUGUUUAUUUACCUGAGAGGAUUAAAAGGAUUUGCUUUUCAGUAACUUACUAAAAAUUGCAAAUAUUAUUUUGUUAU